rnacentral:tRNA from 1 species
GGAAAGUUGGCAGAGCCCGGUUGAAUGCACUCGACUUGAAAUCGAACGAUGCCCUGAAAGGUGUCCGGGGGUUCGAAUCCCUCACUUUCCGCCA